CCCUAGUCCAAGCCUGAGGCCUUGAUCAUGCCAGAAGUCAAACCAGCUAAUUUAAUUGACUGCUCUGGAUAUGAAGAAUCAUGGUGUCUAGGCACCAGGAGUAAUACUGAGCAUGAUAUUACCAUUUUCACAUCCCAAGGCUGUGCAAACAUUAACUAACGCUAACUCUAAUUAGCUGCAACUCACUGGAAAGUAGGCUGUUUCACCAUUCUGAGGGGUAUUCUGGCCUCCCAGACAGCGUGCAUUUGACCGAGACAUACCUCAGGAGAUGAGCACAGGAUGCCUCAGUCCUACCAUGCCACAAGUCCCCCCACAAGCACGUGUGCUAUGUUCAACCAGCUGAGAGCCCCUCCCCUGUCUGGUGGGGCCCUCGAGUGCUGCCAUCUCCCCGAGAGCACCCAACUGGCAAAUGCAAUGCCAUCAGGGCCCAGGGUGGUUUCCUGAAGUGCAGUACAGCAGACUUCCCCUUUCUCCCAUUUUCCCACCUGAAAGUUGUUGAA